rnacentral:snRNA from 1 species
AAAUAUUAGCAUGGCCCCUGCACAAAGAUGACAUGCACAAAUUAAGAAAUGAUCCAAAUUUUU